UCGGACAGGCGCUCUGCUCCUCUUUAAAGAGCAUGGAUUUAUCCAUACCGUACGACAUGAAUGAAAUGAGUUCUCAGGGCUGCCAGCUUUCUAGUUAGGGUUCUGCAGGAGUACGUUUCUUCCACAAUG